rnacentral:misc_RNA from 1 species
UCUCCGUAGGUGAACCUGCGGAGGGAUCAUUACAGAGUUCGUGCCCUUACGGGUAGAUCUCCCACCCUGUGUUAUUAUACCUUUGUUGCUUUGGCGGGCCGCCCUCGGCUACCGGCCCCGGCUGGUACGCGCCCGCCAGAGGACCCCAAACUCUGAAUGUUCGUGUCGUCUGAGUACUAUACAAUAGUUAAAACUUUCAACAACGGAUCUCUUGGUUCUG